rnacentral:rRNA from 1 species
GGGGGGGGGGGGGGGGGGGGGGGGGGGGGGGGGGGGGGGGGGGGGGGGGGGGGGGGGGGGGUGCGGGGGUUAGCGGCGGAGGGGUGGGGAACGAGGGGGGGACCGACCGAUAGGACGGGGAUGACUUCGGGAAGCCGGGGCGCAGACCGGAUGAUAUUGUGAACCGCAUGGUUACAAAGUGACAGACGGUCUUGCUGUCGCUUAUAGAGGGCGCCGCGCUGCAUUAGCUAGUUGGUAAGGUAACGGCUUACCAAGGCAACGAUUCAUAGACGACCUGCGGGGGUGAUCGGCCACACUGGCACUGAGACAAGGUCCAGACUCCUAUGGGAGGCAGGAGUAGGGAAUCUUCCGCAAUGGGCGAAAGCCUGACGGAGCAACGCCGCGUGAGUGAUGAAGGUCUUCGGAUCGUAAAACUCUGUUAUUAGGGAAGAACAUAUGUGUAAGUAACUGUGCACAUCUUGACGGUACCUAAUCAGAAAGCCACGGCUAACUACGUG